rnacentral:rRNA from 1 species
GAUGAACGCUGGCGGCGUGCCUAAUACAUGCAAGUCGAGCGAAUGGAUUGAGCGCUUGCUCUUAUGAAGUUAGCGGCGGACGGGUGAGUAACACGUGGGUAACCUGCCCAUAAGACUGGGAUAACUCCGGGAAACCGGGGCUAAUACCGGAUAACAUUUUGAACCGCAUGGUUCGAAAUUGAAAGGCGGCUUCGGCUGUCACUUAUGGAUGGACCCGCGUCGCAUUAGCUAGUUGUUGAGGUAACGGCUCACCAAGGCAACGAUGCGUAGCCGACCUAAGAGGGUAAUCGGCCACACUGGGACCGGGACACGGCCCAGACUCCGACGGGAGGCAGCAGUAGGGAAUCUUCCGCAAUGGACGAAAGUCUGACGGAGCAACGCCGCGUGAGUGAUGAAGGCUUUCGGGUCGUAAACUCUGUUGUUAGGGAAGAACAAGUGCUAGUUGAAUAAGCUGGCACCUUGACGGUACCUAACCAGAAAGCCACGGCUAACUACGUGCCAGCCGCCGCAGUAA